AUUGAACGCUGGCGGCAGGCCUAACACAUGCAAGUCGAACGGUAACAGGAAACAGCUUGCUGUUUCGCUGACGAGUGGCGGACGGGUGAGUAAUGUCUGGGAAACUGCCUGAUGGAGGGGGAUAACUCCUGGAAACGGUAGCUAAUACCGCAUAACGUCGCAAGACCAAAGAGGGGGACCUUCGGGCCUCUUGCCAUCGGCUGUGCCCAGAUGGGAUUAGCUAGUAGGUGGGGUAACGGCUAACCUAGGCGACGAUCCCUAGCUGGUCUGAGAGGGUGACCAGCCACACUGGAACUGAGACACGGUCCAGACUCCUACGGGAGGCAGCAGUGGGGAAUAUUGCACAAUGGGCGCAAGCCUGAUGCAGCCAUGCCGCGUGUAUGAAGAAGGCCUUCGGGUUGUAAAGUACUUUCAGCGGGGAGGAAGGGAGUAAAGUUAAUACCUUUACUCAUUGACGUUACCCGCAGAAGAAGCACCGGCUAACUCCGUG
rnacentral:rRNA from 1 species